ACAUGCAGAGAACUUUCCAGAGAUGGAUUGGUGCCUUCGGGAACUCUGACACAGGUGCUGCAUGGCUGUCGCCAGCUCGUGUCGUGAGAUGUUGGGUUAAGUCCCGUAACGAGCGCAACCCUUGUCCUUAGUUACCAGCACGUUAUGGUGGGCACUCUAAGGAGACUGCCGGUGACAGACCGGAGGAAGGUGGGGAUGACGUCAAGUCAUCAUGGCCCUUACGGCCUGGGCUACACACGUGCUACAAUGGUCGGUACAAAGGGUUGCCAAGCCGCGAGGCGGAGCUAAUCCCAUAAAACCGAUCGUAGUCCGGAUCGCAGUCUGCAACUCGACUGCGUGAAGUCGGAAUCGCUAGUAAUCGUGAAUCAGAAUGUCACGGUGAAUACGUUCCCGGGCCUU
rnacentral:rRNA from 1 species